CCUACGGGAGGCUGCAGUGAGGAAUAUUGGUCAAUGGGCGGAAGCCUGAACCAGCCAAGUAGCGUGCGGGAUGAAGGCCCUACGGGUCGUAAACCGCUUUUGCCCGGGGGUAACACCCUCCACUUGUGGGGGUCUGCAGGUACCGUGCGAAUAAGGGCCGGCUAAUUCCGUGCCAGCAGCCGCGGUAAUACGGAGGGCCCGAGCGUUAUCCGGAUUUAUUGGGUUUAAAGGGUGCGUAGGCGGGCGUUUAAGUCAGCGGUAAAAUCGCGCGGCUCAACCGCGCCCGGCCGUUGAAACGGGGGGCCUUGAGGUGACAGCAGGCAGGCGGAAGUGGGGGGG
rnacentral:rRNA from 1 species